rnacentral:sRNA from 1 species
CGAAAGCCUGACGGAGCAAUACCGCGUGGGGGAGGAAGGUUCUUGGAUUGUAAACCCCUUUUCUCAGGGAAGAAAAAAAUGACGGUACCUGAGGAAUCAGCAUCGGCUAACUCCGUGCCAGCAGCCGCGGUAAUACGGAGGAUGCAAGCGUUAUCCGGAAUGAUUGGGCGUAAAGCGUCCGCAGGUGGCAGUUCAAGUCUGCUGUUAAAGACUGGGGCUCAACCCUGGAAAGGCAGUGGAAACUGAACAGCUAGAGUGCGGUAGGGGCAGAGGGAAUUCCUGGUGUAGCGGUGAAAUGCGUAGAGAUCAGGAAGAACACCGGUGGCGAAGGCGCUCUGCUAGGCCGCAACUGACACUCAGGGACGAAAGCUAGGGGAGCGAAUGGGAUUAGAUACCCCAGUAGUCCUAGCCGUAAACGUUGGAUACUAGGUGUGGCUUGUAUCGACCCAAGCCGUGCCGCAGCUAACGCGUUAAGUAUCCCGCCUGGGGAGUACGCUCGCAAGAGUGAAACUCAAAGGAAUUGACGGGGGCCCGCACAAGCGGUGGAGUAUGUGGUUUAAUUCGAUGCAACGCGAAGAACCUUACCAAGGCUUGACAUGUCGCGAAUCCCCUUGAAAGGGGGGAGUGCCUUAGGGAGCGCGAACACAGGUGGUGCAUGGCUGUCGUCAGCUCGUGUCGUGAGAUGUUGGGUUAAGUCCCGCAACGAGCGCAACCCUCGUUUUUAGUUGCCAGCAUUAAGUUGGGCACUCUAGAGAUACUGCCGGUGACAAACCGGAGGAAGGUGGGGAUGACGUCAAGUCAGCAUGCCCCUUACGUCUUGGGCUACACACGUACUACAAUGCUACGGACAAAGGGCAGCAAGUUAGCGAUGACAAGCAAAUCCCAUAAACCGUGGCUCAGUUCAGAUUGGAGGCUGCAACUCGCCUCCAUGAAGGUGGAAUCGCUAGUAAUUGCAGGUCAGCACACUGCAGUGAAUUCGUUCCCGGGCCUUGUACACACCGCCCGUCACACCAUGGAAGCUGGCCACGCCCGAAGUCGUUACCCUAACCGCAAGGAGGGGGACGCCGAAGGCAGGGCUGGUGACUGGGGUGAAGUCGUAACAAGGUAGCCGUACCGGAAGGUGUGGCUGGAUCACCUCCUUUACAGGGAGACCUACCCCAUCCUCAAAGACACAAGUAAUUGUGAUUGAUUGAGAUGAGGUCAUCCCAAAGGUCGGUCGAGGACAGAAGUGAGGCUUUCAAACUAUGAUUGGCUCAGGUGAAUGAUUUGGGCUAUUAGCUCAGGUGGUUAGAGCGCACCCCUGAUAAGGGUGAGGUCCCUGGUUCGAGUCCAGGAUGGCCCACCUAAGUAAGGGGGGGUAUAGCUCAGUUGGUAGAGCGCUGCCUUUGCAAGGCAGAUGCCAGCGGUUCGAGUCCGCUUACCUCCACUACCGAAACUUGUAAUUGCAAGCUCGGUAUCAUAAUGUAGAGAAAUUGAAAAAAGGAAAUAUUCAGCAACUAGACAUCAUCUGUGAUGUCAGACUGCUGGAAAUAAUUCCAGCCAGAACCUUGAAAACUGCAUAGCAACGCGAAUUAAGCCAGGCUCAUACAGGAGUGGGUAACUACAACUGUCAAGAGCUUGGAGAAAGAAAUGUGGUCAAGCUAAUUAGGGCUUACGGUGGAUACCUAGGCACACAGAGGCGAAGAAGGACGUGGCGACCGACGAAACACUCCGGGGAGCUGGAAGCAAGCAUCGAGCCGGAGAUAUCCGAAUGGGGCAACCCUAAAUACUACCUGCUGAAUAUAUAGGCAGGAGAGAGCCAACCCAGCGAACUGAAACAUCUUAGUAGCUGGAGGAAGAGAAAGAAAAAUCGAUUCCCUAAGUAGUGGUGAGCGAAAGGGGAAGAGCCUAAACCAGGAGUUACGACGACUGGGGUUGUGGGACAGCGACAUGGAAUCACAAAGCUAGACGAAGCAGUUGGCAUCCUGCACCAGAGAAGGUGAAAGUCCUGUAGUCGAAAGUGGAUUGAUACUAGCUGAAUCCCGAGUAGCAUGGGGCACGAGGAAUCCCGUGUGAAUCCGCGAGGACCAUCUCGUAAGGCUAAAUACUACUGUGUGACCGAUAGUGAACCAGUACCGCGAGGGAAAGGUGAAAAGAACCCCGGAAGGGGAGUGAAAUAGAACAUGAAACCGUAAGCCUGCAAGCAGUGGAAGGACGAUUCAACGUCUGACCGCGUGCCUGUUGAAGAAUGAGCCGGCGACUUAUAGGUAGUGGCAGGUAAAGGCGGAAAUGCCCAAGCCAAAGCGAAAGCGAGUCUGAAGAGGGCGUGUAUUGUCACUAUUUAUAAACCCGAACCCGGGUGAUCUAACCAUGUCCAGGAUGAAGCUUGGGUAACACCAAGUGGAGGUCCGAACCGACCGAUGUUGAAAAAUCGGCGGAUGAGGUGUGGUUAGCGGUGAAAUACCAAUCGAACCCGGAGCUAGCUGGUUCUCCCCGAAAUGUGUUUAGGCGCAGCGGUUGUGAUUAUAACCUGGGGGUAAAGCACUGUUUCGGUGCGGGCGGAGAAAUCUGUACCAAAUCGAGACAAACUCAGAAUACCAGGCGAACACACAGCCAGUGAGACAGUGGGGGAUAAGCUCCAUUGUCAAGAGGGAAACAGCCCAGACCACCAGCUAAGGCCCCCAAAUUGUCACUAAGUGAUAAAGGAGGUGGGAGUGCAUAGACAACCAGGAGGUUUGCCUAGAAGCAGCAACCCUUAAAAGAGUGCGUAAUAGCUCACUGGUCAAGCGCUCCUGCGCCGAAAACGAACGGGGCUAAGUGACAUGCCGAAGCUGUGGGAUAAUUUAUUAUCGGUAGGGGAGCGUUCCGUUGUAGGGUGAAGCACUAGCGGCAAGCAGGUGUGGACGAAGCGGAAGUGAGAAUGUCGGCUUGAGUAGCGCAAACAUUGGUGAGAAUCCAAUGCCCCGAAACCCCAAGGGUUCCGACGCAAGGCUCGUCCGCGUCGGGUUAGUCAGGACCUAAGGCGAGGCCAAACGGCGUAGUCGAUGGACAACGGGUUAACAUUCCCGUACUGAAAUUGAUUUGUGCAGAGGGACGGAGAAGGCAAUUGUCAGCCGGAAGUUGGUUACCGGUUCAACUGUUCGAGGUGAUGAGAAGCGGCGAAAACGCUUUGAGCUGAGACAGGAGUACGAGCGACUACGGUCGCGAAGUGGCAUAGUCAAGCUUCCAAGAAAAGCUUUAAGCACGCUAAGUCAAUUUUACUUGUACCCGAAACCGACACAGGUGGGGAGGUUGAGAAAACUCAGGGGCGCGAGAUAACUCUCUCUAAGGAACUCGGCAAAAUGGCCCCGUAACUUCGGAAGAAGGGGUGCCCAAGCAAUUGGGCCGCAGUGAAGAGAUCCAGGCGACUGUUUACCAAAAACACAGGUCUCCGCUAAGUCUAAUGACGAUGUAUGGGGGCUGACGCCUGCCCAGUGCCGGAAGGUUAAGGAAGUCGGUCAGGGGGAAACUCUAAAGCUGGCGACUGAAGCCCCGGUGAACGGCGGCCGUAACUAUAACGGUCCUAAGGUAGCGAAAUUCCUUGUCGGGUAAGUUCCGACCCGCACGAAAGGCGUAACGAUCUGGAUGGUGUCUCAGAGAGAGACUCGGCGAAAUAGGAAUGUCUGUGAAGAUACGGACUACCUGCACCUGGACAGAAAGACCCUAUGAAGCUUUACUGUAGCCUGGAAUUGACUCCGGGCUUGGCUUGCGCAGGAUAGGUGGGAGGCAUUGAGACUGUCCUCGUGGGGGCAGUGGAGCCAACGGUGAGAUACCACUCUGGCGAAGCUAGGAUUCUAACCAUUCGCCGUCAUCCGGCAGUGGAACAAUUUCAGGUGGGCAGUUUGACUGGGGCGGUCGCCUCCUAAAACGUAACGGAGGCGCGCAAAGGUUCCCUCAGCACGCUUGGAAACCGUGCAUAGAGUGUAAAGGCAAAAGGGAGCUUGACUGCAAGAGCCACAACUCAAGCAGGGACGAAAGUCGGCCUUAGUGAUCCGACGGCACUGUAUGGAAGGGCCGUCGCUCAACGGAUAAAAGUUACUCUAGGGAUAACAGGCUGAUCUCCCCCAAGAGUCCACAUCGACGGGGAGGUUUGGCACCUCGAUGUCGGCUCAUCGCAACCUGGGG